AUAAGAGAUUAAUUGCUGUUGGUUUGAUUGACUUAUUUGGCUAACUACCAAAUGACUUGGUGUCUUUUUUUCUGUUUCUUUUUGGAGGAAAUGUUGUAUCAUACAAUAAAGGUAACUGUUUCGUGAUUAGUUUAUAUAAGCGGCCAGUCAAUAUAGAUGUCCAUGUUUUCCCUUUUUAUCAAAUAAGUGCUUCCAUAGUUCGUGUUAGUGUGCAUUCUCGAAGGUUGAAAAUACCAACAGAUGACACCACUUCGACUCUUCGUCCCGUGCAAGGGUUGAAAUUACCUUCACAAUGGGAUCUCUCCACUAAUUCGGCUCAGAAUUGGAAAGUUUUUGCUCAAUAAUCACAAGAUUAUCUGAGCAGAAGGAACAGUACAAAGUCGCUCUGCUACAACACACGCUUGGUGAUGAGCUACUCAAAGUGUAUAAUAUGUUUACGCUUACUUCGACUGAGGGGGAACGAACAGAAGGUCAGAUCCUUGAACAGUUUGAAAGUUUUGCCGUUGGAGAAACUAACGGAACCUAUGAACAGUUUAUAUUCAACAAAAGGGAGCAACUGCCUCAUGAAAUUCUUGAAUGUUUUUUAUCAUCGAUUUGACAAAUUAUGAAAACCUGUAAUUAUCAUGAAGCGAGUGUUGAUUUUCUACUUUGGGAUUGCAUAGAUCUAGGGAUUCGAGACGCAGAGGAUAUUGUUGAAGGAACGUAAACUAAGAUCUAGAGAUAGAGGUAUUGAUAUUUGUAAAGCAAAAAAAUCUGCGGACAUUCAAGAAAAACUAUUUAAGGAUGAAACGUCUGCUGUGAACAAAGAAAGUGCAUCUACUAGUAGGCCAAGAAACUCAUCGUUACCUAAGAAAAAUAGUAAUUACAACUCAGUACGAUCAAAUGAUGCAAUAGUUAAAACUGCAAUUUCUGUGGCCUUACACACUCAAUGCGGAAACUCGAAUGCCCAGCCUGGGGAAAAAAAUUUAACAAAUUUAAAAGACUGAAUCAUUUUGAAGCUAAAUGUCCGAAAUCAAAUGCAAUUCACUCUGUUGAUGUUUCGGUAAUAAUUCGGAAUGGCGGAAACAAGCAUGGAUAUACAAUCUUAGUUAUAGUGUGAAGUCAUCAAUUUGCAUCACUAUGUUAUAUUGCCCAAAAGAGUAAAAAAUUCAGAUUUUGGGAUGACUUUCCAGUUACUCCGGUAGGAGUCACUCGUACUACUAUACGAAAUCCGAAGAACAGGAAACAUUAUAGUGUUGAAUUUAUUGGCGUGAAACAGGGCCUCACUCCUCUUCUGGGUCUUAAGGCUGUAGAAGCAAUGAGGUUGGUGAAAAUCAAGGAAUGUCAGAUGGAACGGGUAUCAAUAGUAUCCAUUACAGACAAAUUCUCGAAUGUCUUCGAGGAUCUGGGAACAAUACAAGGUCAGUUGUCUUUAAAGCUAGAUGAGUCAGUACAGCCUUUAAUAUCACCGUCAAGUCGCAUACCUGUGGCACUUCAACCUAAAGUAAAAGCUGAGCUAGUUAGACUGGUGAGUAAUGGAGUAAUAGAACUUAUAAGUGAAUACUCCCUGGGGUAGUAAAAUUGUAAUUGUAACGAAGAAGUCUGGGGAUAUGAGGUCAUGUUUACAUCCCUGCAAUCUGAAUAAAGCUCUCAAACGUGAACAUUAUCAAAUACUACUACUUGAAGAUACUCUGUAUAAUAUGUCCCUAUCAAAAGUUUUCGCGAAACUUGAUGUUAAAUCUGCUUAUUGCCAUUGUGAGCUUGAUGAAUCGUCAAGUCAACUCACAACAUUUCAAUCUCCAUUUUGUCUCUAUAGAUGGCGACGUUUGGUAUUCGGUCCGUCAGUCUCGUCUAAAAUAUUUCGAAAGAAAAUUCUUGAAGCGGAUCCGGUCUCAAAGGAGUAUAAUGUAUUACCGAUGACAUUUUGGUAUAUGGUAAAGAUGCUUCCACACAUGAUCUAAAUUUGAAUGCAUUUGUGAAACGAUGUCAAGAGAGAAAUAUUAAACUAAACAUGGACAAAAAAAAUUCUUCUAUGCGACAAAAAAUGAUAACCAUAAUAUUAUUACUUAGUAGUUAUUUUUUAUAAUAUGUCAUUUUAGAAGUACAUGCUUUUAUCAUACUGUUGAAUAAAACAUUAACUUUUUUUAGGUUUAUGAGACCAUAAUUAAUGGUCUCCAAAGAAGUCAUUGUUUGAUAUUUAAAUGAAUAGAGAUCUGGUAAAGUUUAUUUUAAUCGUUUUCACGAUUUAUUUUUCUAUAUGAAUCGCAUCAAGAUAGUUCAAUGGAUUAUAAUAAGAGUGAUUAAAAAAUAUCAUCCACUUCUCCGUCAGAAGUUUUCCCAGUACAGGUAGAACAUGAAGUUACGUUAAACGCAUUGGGCUUUUAAAAUCUUCAUAAAUAGUAUGCCAUAAGCCUUCACAGGAAGUGUUUACAGUAAAAAAUAUAUACAUUGCUUCUUAUAUUCUUAAAAAAAUUACGCGAUAUGAAAUAUAAUAUGAAGACGAUUACCUCAGCAUGUUAGCAAAAUAGUUUAUUAAAGAUUAUUUAUACUUAAGAAAAUUACAAAUCCGGUAGGGUAAGCUUUUCCAUUUUUGUAUCUCCAUUUACCUAUGUUAUAAAUAAGGUUGAUCAUUUUGGUAAGAAUACAAAAGCGUGCGAGGAGAAAAGAAGAAAUACUUAUGGCAUCAUUGAUUAAAUAAUAUAUAUCUUCUUCUAUAAAGAACGUAAUCAUUCCCCCUUUUAUUAUUCAAUAUUAAUAUAUUAGAUGCUGAUAGUCGAUAGCAAACUGAAUAAAACACCUGAAAUAAAGUCGCCUUCUGUCUGGAUUUCUGAAAAUGGAGACCCAGGAAUUUGGAAAAUACUUCCCCUGUCUAUAAUUACACACCACUCAUUAUCCUCAUCUCAUAACAAGAAAAAUAUUAACAAUCAAAAAAUGGACCAAGAAAAUAAUUAUAUCCCGAGAUUUCUUGAAAGUCCUGAUCCUUAAGAUAUAUUUCAAGAAUAUAACUUCACCAAGUUAACCUCGAGGGAAGAAAUUAAAACACUCCGUCCAUUAUGGAGAAAGGAGAUAGGAAAAAAUGUGAUUUGUAGCACGCAUAAUCUCCACACAAGUAUGAAAUAUCCCAAAGCCUUCAAAAUUACUACAAAACUAUUUAAGUAUGCUUGUUGAAGAAAAGGGAUUUAUUUUAAACGUCUCAUUACAUAUGGAAUAGGGCAUUACUGUAAAAGGAACUGCCAUCUUUGGCAUUGCCAACAUGUCCUAUACAUUCUAUUUUUAAUGUGUCCUAAAAACCAUACUACUAAAAAUAUUAAAGAUUAGAAUGAUUAAGAUAAAAAAGAAUUCUAUGUAUAAUUAUCAGAAUAAAGAAAAUGAAUAUUUAAUGUAAAAAUAACUGCACAAAGAAUGUAAAUACAGCUCAUUCUAAUUCA
rnacentral:lncRNA from 1 species